UGAAUUCCGAUAUAGCUGGUUGAAAUCGGCCCAAAUUGUAUUGCAUUUCCAUGUCAUUUGGUCCCCUUCAACCAGCUGUACUUGGCAUUCAAU
rnacentral:pre_miRNA from 1 species